AUUGAACGCUGGCGGCAUGCCUUACACAUGCAAGUCGAACGGCAGCAUAGGAGCUUGCUCCUGAUGGCGAGUGGCGAACGGGUGAGUAAUAUAUCGGAACGUGCCCUAGAGUGGGGGAUAACUAGUCGAAAGACUAGCUAAUACCGCAUACGAUCUACGGAUGAAAGUGGGGGAUCGCAAGACCUCAUGCUCCUGGAGCGGCCGGUAUCUGAUUAGCUAGUUGGUGGGGUAAAAGCCUACCAAGGCGACGAUCAGUAGCUGGUCUGAGAGGACGACCAGCCACACUGGGACUGAGACACGGCCCAGACUCCUACGGGAGGCAGCAGUGGGGAACUUUGGACAAUGGGGGCAACCCUGAUCCAGCAAUGCCGCGUGAGUGAAGAAGGCCUUCGGGUUGUAAAGCUCUUUUGUCAGGGAAGAAACGGUAGUAGCUAAUAUCUAUUACUAAUGACGGUACCUGAAGAAUAAGCACCGGCUAACUACGUGCCAGCCGCCGCGGUAA
rnacentral:rRNA from 1 species